rnacentral:rRNA from 1 species
CAGUAGCCGCGGUAAGACAGAGGGUGCAAACGUUGUUCGGAAUUACUGGGCGUAAAGCGUGUGUAGGCGGCUUCGCAAGUCGGAUGUGAAAGCCCCGGGCUCAACCCGGGAAGUGCACUCGAUACUGCGGAGCUAGAGUGUCGGAGAGGUUGGUGGAAUUCUCGGUGUAGAGGUGAAAUUCGUAGAUAUCGAGAGGAACACCGGUGGCGAAGGCGGCCAACUGGACGAACACUGACGCUGAGACACGAAAGCGUGGGGAGCAAACAGGAUUAGAUACCCCUGUAGUCCCUGUCUCUUAUAA